AGAGAGAAGGAGUCAUCUGAUUUGGCAUCAUCUGAUAUGGGAAGGGGACUAAACAAAAGUGGUGUCUGAGAGUGGGACUGGGAGGUAGAACAGGCAUGGCUUAAAAUUGGGGAAUAUAAGGCAAACAUUCAAUGCCAUAACAUAGAACAGGGACAGAGACAGACGCAGGCAUGGGCUGGCCUCGAACUCAUGACCUCUUGGUCAGAAUGAUUUGUUGCAGCUGGCUGCUAACCAGCCUGUGCCACAGGUUGCCGGUUAACUGAGAAUUUACUGUAUAUGGAAAGUGUCUGGUUCUCACUCAAGGGGUGCUUUAGGUUGGUGGAGAAAAAUGUCUGCAUUGCACAUGCUGUUGCAUUGCAAUUCCCAUCAGCCUUAAGUUUAAAAAGGACUGAUCCUCUCAGAGCCGGUCCAACAAUGAGGCAAAUUAAGCGGUCACUUCGGGCACAAAACAUACGGGGGCGCAAUCAAGACUGCUUUUUCUGUUGAUUUCUUGUAAAACAUGAUGUUUUGGUGCUUAAUUUGUAAAAUCUUAAUGUAAUUUGAUGUUUAAUAGGCUUUUCCUUAAUCCCUCCUUAUUAUCCCACAUUUUCGCUUAUCCAACGCUUUUAUUUUUCAGUGAUUGGUUGGGGGGGGCAACAUUCUGUUCACCUACACUUGAAAAAUACCUAGGGCCAGCUAUGUCCUCUUCUUAACCAGCAUAGCCAAGAAUGAGGGGUGAUCAAAGGUGCAGCACAAAAACAUCUGGAUGACCACCACUCCCCCUGCUCACACUCAUGUGCUCUGCACAUAUCUAAUAAUGAACACAUAAAGCAAAUUCACACAUUCAAUACACAUUCUUCUAAGUAUAGCUCUUUUUCAUGUGUUAGAGUGAGUGUGCUUUUCUAUACGACUUCAGAAACCAAAGCAUGGAAUCUGAUAUAAUAAACAGUUCAAGGUCAAGACCCAUAAAUCAGAACAAAGCCCCAGUCGAGAAAUCAGUGAGCAGUCUGAUGGUCAUAAAUCCAAGAUACAACACCAGAGUCCGGUGAGGUGGAGGAGGAGGACUAAAGCUACUUUCAGUAACCAGCCAGGGAGACAUUAUUUGACUCUUAAAGAGACUCAUCUCAGCCCAUGCUCAUAUCGAGAUAAACGGACCAAGGAUUAACUUUUUAUAACAUAAGGCAGAUUUCUACGGUAUAUAUUCGUGAUUCUGCUUUCCCAACUAUAUGGAAUAACUUAUCGACAAGUCAUAUCAAAAUCCAUAAUUUUUGCCCCCAAACCUUCCCACAAUGCAUACAUGAGAUCAACUUAUACAACAGUAUACACAGUAUGUUGUGAUGUUUCCAUAAUUGUGCAACCUCAAAAGCUCUCUGUUGAUGCUGGCAAGUUGAAUGGGAUGAUGUUCCUUACAUCAGGUUUCCAUAGGCACGUAUUCAUAUUCAGGAACUCAUAAUGGUUUCAAGGUAGGGUCUGAUAUACCUAUAAUACACACACACACACACACUUUUUAAUGAGAGCUUAGGAUACAGACACAGUCAGGGCCGGCCCAAGGAAAUUUUCAAGUGUAAGCGAAACAGGAUUUUGGUGCCCCCCCCCCCAAAAAAAAAACCCAAUCACCGAGAAAUAAAAGGUAGAAGGUAGAGGUGAAUAGAAUGGAUAAAAGAGUUUACCUUACAACCAGAAGUUUAUUAACAACAUUAUGUUCAUAUAGUAACAUUACAUAGAAUUAACACCAAUCUUGCAUUUUAAUAAAUAAAUAUUUUAAUAAACUUUGCAACAAUUUUAAUUUUUUUGUUAUUUCUAGUCUACAAGUACUACACAAAGGUUUCCUGGUCAUGAUAUCUCUUCAGAAGAUUUUUCAGACUUCAGACUAGCUUCAGAUCAGUUUUGUUUGGGAGAACGCAGCCCCAGGAGAAUAGACACUUCCUUUCUCAGGAAGUGAACUCUUGUCCUUCAGAAGUGCCACGCCAGCGUGGACCAUUGUAAUGGGUGUAGCAAAGCAGGGGAAAUCCAGUCAUGAAUCAAUCAGGGCCAGCUAACACCUCCCAACAAAGUAUUCCCAUCAUCAAAGUCUGGUAAAUCCUCUGUUUUCUCACGGCCACAGACGGCAGAAGCACAUACCAUAUCGCAAAGAACACCACUCUGAAAACGGGAAUUCCAGACAGGAAACAAUCAGGGUCAGCUAACACCUCCCAACAAAAAAUUCACUCAGAGAGGAAACAGCCUGGCUGUAAAUCUGCAAAGCCAUUACAUCCUUAUCAUUUUUCCUAAUUGCAGCAUUCAUACUUGCCUCUAACAGACAAAAAAAAAACCAAUCAGAAAUAUUGUAUAUUCACAACCUUUAAGAAAUAAUAUCCCCUGAUGGCACAGCAUGUGAAAGCGCUGAGCUGCUGAAAUUCUGGACCGACAGGCUGCAGCAGGUUUGAAUUGGGGGACCAGAGUGAGCCCUCACUGUUAGCCCCAGCUUCUGCCAACCCAGAAGUUCAAAAACAUGCAAAUGUGAGUGCAUCAAUAGGUACUGCUCCAGCGGGAAGGUAACGCCGCUCCAUGCAGUCAUCCCACAUGACCUUGGAGGAGUCUACGGACAAGGCUGGCUCUUUGGCUUAGAAAUGGAGAUGAGCACCAAACCCCAGAAUCAGACAUGACUGGACUUAAUGUCUGGGGAAAAACAUUUACCCUUUAGGGUUGUUGUAUGUCUUUCGGGCUGUGUGGCCAUGUUCCAGAAGUAUUCUCUCCUGACGUUUCGCCCACAUCUAUGGCAGGCAUCCUCAGAGGUUGUGAGGUAUACCUCACAACCUCUGAGGAUGCCUGCCAUAGAUGUGGGCGAAACGUCAGGAGAGAAUACUUCUGGAACAUGGCCACACAGCCCGAAAGACAUACAACAACCCUGUGAUCCCGGCCAUGAAAGCCUUCGACAACAUAAAGCUUUUAAGCAUCCCAACCAACUCCUUCUAGAGCAGUGGUUCUCAACCUGUGGGUCCCCAGCUGUUUUGGCCUACAACUCCCAGCCAGUUUACCAGUUGUUAGGAUUUCCGGGAUUUGAAGGCCAAAACAUCUAGGGAUCCACAGGUUGAGAACCACUGUUCUAGAGGCUUCCAACAGCAGAAAUACCUAUUGGAAGACUAAUUUCCUGUAUUUCACAGCAAGGCAAAGACGUGGGAGAACCAGGGCUGUAGUUGCCGAUGGAGGAAAAAAUAGGACAAUGCCUUCCUAUAAAAAUUAUCCCCAGUGCAUAAAAAUGUUCUUCAAUCCCAAAUUUCUACACCUGCAGAAACCUAAAAUGUCAAUUGACAAUUUAGAAAUACAGUUAAGACAUCCAAAAAGGUGGCAAGACAGAGUUACCAAAGGAUUGAGAACACAGCAAAUACAGUAGAGUCUCACUUAUCCAAGCCUCACUUAUCCAAGUUUCUGGAUAAUCCAAGCCAUUUUUGUAGUCAAUGUUUUCAAUAUAUCGUGACAUUUUGGUGCUAAAUUCGUAAAUACAGUAAUUACAACAUAACAUUACUGCGUAUUGAACUGCUUUUUGUGUCAAAUUUGUUGUAUAAUAUGAUGUUUUGGUGUCUUCCAAUCGCUUGUUGAUUUAUGAGAUUUUCUUAGACAAGGAAAACUGGAGAUAGUUUUGCCAUUCUCUUGCUUUGAGAUACAACCUGUAACACCUAGUAUUUAUUGGCAGUCUUCCAUCCAAGUACUAAUAAGGGCUGACCAUGCUUAGCUUCCAAAAUCAGACAUGAUCUGGUUCCUGUUAUUGGCAGUUUAAGGAGGAGCAGAUAGAUUUCUCCAAAUGUCUCGCCAAACUACAAGUUUCAGGAUUCUGUAGGAUGUAACUGGCAGGUAAAGCGAAACCAUAACAUAUAACUCUGUGAUGUGAAUAAGUCCUGAGAAUGUCCGGAUUUUAGACUGAAUGAUUCACCAUACCUACUCUGUCUGGUAUUCCUGACAACACAACAAUGUAACUUCUGGUCACAUUCGCUCUGGACAGCAUAAUGAACAUUCUGGGAAUCAUGCAGAUGUUUGUGACCAUUCAGAUGUUUGUGAUAAGUGUCCAUGUAGAUUGAACAAUUCAGUGACUUGGAGCUCAAAACAGUAACAUUUCGAAGCUGUAUUCAGAUGAGAUGUGAUGACACCAUGUCAAGUCAUCUGUGUGUUGGUACACAUUACAUAUUGCUUUGCUACCUGCUCUGCUCCCCACUGCCAGUUAUCUUGCAUAGAAAUGUCACACACCAAGGACUAAGUACUCACAGAGAAUAGUCAUUCCUAAUAAGUUUGCUGCUUGAGGUAAGGGUCAAGAGGGCAUGCAAAAUGUGCAACUGACAAGUAACACAUUUACCCUCAAUACUUCUUAGGCAUGUAAGAGUACAGUGAAAACACAUUUCAAAGGGAAUGUAAUGAGUAAGAUAAAGUUACGUUACUACUACAAAUGAGUAGUAGUUAUAAAUAAUGGGAUAUAAAUAGAUUAUUUAUUAUUAUUAUUAUUUUAUUAUGACACAGCAAACAAGAUAGAUAUGCUGGAUUUCGUAUCACAAAAUCACAAGUCGAACACUUCCCAAGUGUCUAUUGUUAUUAUUGUUGUUGUUGUUGUUGUUGUUAUUGUUAUUGUUAUUGUUAUUAUUCCUUUCUAAAGCCACUGCUGAAAGACAAUUUUAUGGUUAUUUUGAGAAGAAAUUUUUAAGCCUGAUGCCAUUGGCUUCUCAAUGCUCCAAAAUAAAAUAUAAUAAAAACUAA